rnacentral:rRNA from 1 species
GUGCCAGCCGCCGCGGUAAUACGGAGGGGGCUAGCGUUGUUCGGAAUUACUGGGCGUAAAGCGCGCGUAGGCGGCGCAUCGAGUUAGGGGUGAAAGGCCUGGGCUCAACCUGGGAACUGCCUUUAAUACUGAUGUGCUUGAGUCCGGGAGGGGGUGGCGGAAUUCCCAGUGUAGAGGUGAAAUUCGUAGAUAUUGGGAAGAACACCGGUGGCGAAGGCGGCCACCUGGCCCGGGACUGACGCUGAGGUGC